GCGGGGCCGCGCGGACAUGGCCGGGCUGUGGAGGGAGCCGGGCCGUUGAGCAGCGCGCGCCUGCCCCAUCUCACUCGCUCUUCCUCCCUCCCUUCUCCUCCCCGCAGGGCCGCCGUCAUGGACGAGCAGAGCGUGGAGAGCAUUGCGGAAGUAUUCCGAUGUUUUAUUUGUAUGGAGAAGUUGCGUGACGCGCGCCUGUGUCCCCACUGUUCCAAGCUAUGUUGUUUCAGUUGUAUUCGGCGUUGGCUGACCGAACAAAGAGCUCAGUGCCCUCACUGUCGAGCCCCACUUCAGCUACGGGAACUUGUGAACUGUCGUUGGGCAGAGGAGGUUACACAACAACUUGACACACUUCAGCUAUGCAAUCUUAACAAGCAUGAGGAAAAUGAGAAAGACAAGUGUGAAAAUCAUCAUGAAAAGCUGAGUGUGUUCUGCUGGACAUGUAAGAAAUGUAUUUGCCACCAGUGCGCCCUCUGGGGAGGAAUGCAUGGAGGACACACAUUUAAGCCACUGGCAGAAAUUUAUGAGCAGCAUGUCACAAAAGUGAACGAAGAGGUAGCAAAGCUUCGAAGGAGACUCAUGGAGCUGAUCAGCCUAGUGCAAGAAGUGGAAAGAAACGUAGAGGCAGUACGCAGUGCGAAGGAUGAACGAGUUCGGGAAAUCAGGAAUGCUGUAGAGAUGAUGAUUGCUCGGUUAGAUACUCAACUGAAGAACAAGCUUAUAACACUAAUGGGUCAAAAGACAUCACUCACCCAGGAAACUGAACUUCUGGAAUCCCUGCUGCAGGAAGUAGAACACCAGCUACGAUCAUGCAGUAAGAGUGAAUUGAUAUCUAAGAGCUCGGAGAUCCUGAUGAUGUUUCAGCAGGUUCACAGGAAGCCUAUGGCAUCUUUUGUCACUACCCCUGUCCCUCCAGACUUUACAAGUGAACUAGUACCAGCCUAUGACUCAACUACUUUUGUCUUGGAAAACUUCAGCACUUUGCGCCAGCGGGCUGAUCCUGUUUACAGUCCACCUCUCCAAGUGUCGGGGCUUUGCUGGAGACUAAAAGUUUAUCCAGAUGGAAAUGGAGUCGUGCGUGGUUACUAUUUGUCCGUGUUUUUGGAGCUGUCUGCUGGAUUGCCAGAAACAUCCAAAUAUGAGUACCGGGUAGAGAUGGUUCACCAGUCCACCAACGACCCGGCUAAAAACAUCAUUCGAGAGUUUGCCUCUGAUUUUGAAGUUGGAGAAUGCUGGGGCUACAACAGAUUCUUUCGCCUAGACCUGCUUGCCAAUGAAGGGUAUUUAAACAGACAAAAUGACACAGUAAUUCUAAGAUUCCAAGUGCGUUCACCUACUUUCUUCCAAAAGUGUCGGGACCAACAUUGGUACAUUACUCAACUGGAAGCAGCUCAGACGAGUUACAUCCAACAGAUAAACAACCUUAAAGAGAGACUUGCAAUUGAGCUUUCCCGUACCCAAAAGUCACGAGGCAUGUCACCUCCGGACACUCAUCUUAGCCCACAAAACGAAGAUGGGCUGGAAGCAAGACCAAAGAAACCUGGACAAAAUUCAGAAGUGCUGCUUGAGAAUGUCACCGCUCUGGCAUCUGUGCGAGAUACCAAGGAUGAGGAGGAGGACAAAAUCCAGCAGGAAGACUUUAAUCACGACCUCUCAGACGGAGAUCUGGAAGUUGACCUUGCUGGAGAGGAUGAGGCAAAUCACCUUGAUGGUGGCAGUAGCUCAUCUGCCAGUUCAACAGCCACAAGCAACACUGAAGAAAAUGAUAUCGAUGAAGAAACAAUGUCUGGAGAAAAUGAUGUGGAAUAUGGUAGUAAUAUGGAGUUGGAAGAAGGAGAUCUCAUGGAUGACGCUGCUGCUGCUGCCGCUGCCACUGGAGCAUCAGGUAGCAGCCAUGGCUAUGCCAACCCAAGCAGCAGAGCAUCAAGGCGGGGGGGAAGUAGUCUUGGCUCAGCAGCCAGCAGCAGUUUGCUAGACAUAGAUCCCCUGAUCUUAAUCCACUUUUUGGAUCUAAAAGACAGGAACGGUAUGGAAAAUCUGUGGGGGCUACAGCCACGUCCUCCUGCCUCACUUCUGCAGAACAGAGCAUCAUCCUAUUCUCUAAAAGAUCGAGACCAGCGGAGGCACCAGGCCAUGUGGCGCGUGCCCCCUGACUUGAAGAUGCUGAAGAGACUCAAAACUCAGAUGGCCGAAGUUCGAAGCAAAAUGUCUGAUGUGAAAAACCAGCUGUCGGAAGUAAGAAGCAGCAACACAGGCGCUUGUGAUGGACAGCCUGGCUUCCUCCCUGUUGACCAGGGGGCUCUGGCUGCCUGUGGAACAGACAGCUGCAGCAAGCUACAAGAACUGGGGAUGGAGCUCUUGACAAAGUCAUCGGUUACAAGCUGUUACAUAAGGAAUGCCACAAGUAAGAAAAGUAAUUCGCCCAAACCUGCCCGGUCUGGAGCAGCAGGCAGCCUGUCUCUACGAAGAGCCAUGGACUGUGGGGAGAACAAUCUUCGCUCAAAAGGAGACUGUCUGACUUCCUCUGAAGGUUGCAUAGGAAGUGCGAAGCAUAGCACUAGGCACGGCUCCCCCAGGCCCUUGGCCAUUGGUGGUGCUGGUGAGGCGUUGCUGAAGCCAGAGGACAGGCAUUGCGAAGGCUCAGAUUGUGAUGUGGGGGUUCCUGGUUUGAACGGUUUAAGUGCUGCAGAGAAGACGAGGAAAGCUAUUGCCCUGGGGUCAAGUUCUAAAGGAUGUCGUACAGAAGGAGCGCCGACAGCUGAUCUGGAAAGCAACUCGGAAACUGGGGAGCUCCAGGCCGUGCUCUCUGAAGUUGCCUCGGCAGGGCCAGAGGAAGCUGGGCUGUGCCAGAAGCAUGUCCUCCACCUCCUGCCGGGCAUGAGCAGUGACAGUGACAUUGAAUGUGACACUGAAAAUGAAGAGCCGGAGGAUGCUGCGUCGGCCUCAGAUGGGUUUAACCAUGCCUUUGCCGUCCAGUCCUCGAGCGAAGGUAGAACCCACGGUGACAACAUGCAGUCAGAGGGCAGAUGUCCAAGGGCCAGCCCUAACCUGGCUUGUGUUUUAUGUGGUCCUAGAGCUGGGUUCCAUGUUUCCUGAAGGUGAUCAGACGGGUCCUGAAGAUCUCGGUUUUGCCGCUGGUGAGGACAAUACCAGGUAGAGGAUUGGGUUGGUGACUGCAGAAGACUGUCUUGAAGAGCUGGGUUCACACUAACCUGCUUAUGCCCCUGAGAAGAGGUACUCUUGCCACUGGAGCUUACUUAUGCCAUCAGGAUUGUUCAUGGUAGAAUAAGCUGACUUCAUUACAUUCUGUAGUUCUUCCUCACCGCCUUGAAACCUCUGCAUAGGUCCCCCUGCCCUGUGAAAAGCCUCUUAUAGCAAAAAGACUGCGUUCCUCUUGGUUCAAACAUAUUCUCUGAACAAGUGUUCAAAAGGUGCUGGAGCCCUGCGAGCAUGCUUGUCUAGUGACUCUGAGGCGGGUGCAGUGGAGGAGGUGUAGGAAUAGCUGUGCCAGUAGAAAUGCAGGGGACCCUACAGAUAUGUUUUAACUUAAUGUUAAAGAGGAGCAGCCUCUCCAACCGUUAGUUACCCUCCUCUUCUGUCUCCACCUUGGACCAACUUAGAACAUGUUGCCAAACCUUAUUUUUUUUUUUUUGCCACUGUGCAUUGCGUUUGAGCUGCUAAACAGUUUGUGAAGCUACAACGAAAGCUGAAUAACUGGCUGUU